AGUGCAAUACAACUCAAUAUACCACUAAAAAGGCUCUACAAAUCUUUGAAAUAGAGGAAAUGAAAUCAAUUUACAAAAGAAGUCAUUUCACAAUUCAGAUCCAAUUUGAUUACUCAUCAACCCCUCGAAAUUCCUCUCAAUGUUUCCUCAAAUGCAUGUACAGAAUAAUCAAGCAUGGAGAAUCAAGAUUAUAGAGGAAUCUACUACAAUAUCAAUCAAUAUGCUCAAGUGGAAUCAAUUCACACUUGGCGACAUUCAUGAAAAUGAAUUAAGAAAGCUCAUGGUGCAAAGUACAUGACUCCCACUCACCUGCCAAUCCGGCACAGCCUUGAUACGCCUCUAGAAUUUUACAGUAGGCAGCAGGGGACUUCUUCCUCUUGUUCCCUAGCUUCUUGCCCAACUGUGACAUGCAUUUACCAUACAUUUAGUCUUGUAUCAAGGUCAUAAUCUACGUGCCAAUUAUAAUAUAGGGAACUUUAAUUGAUUCAACUCCCCCGUU
rnacentral:lncRNA from 1 species